ACCAUCCAAACAACAACAGACGAGGAGAUGGCUGAAGCCGCCGCGGAUUUACAACAGUCAAAGGCACCUGCUGCCACCCCUAAACCUACAUUAACAGAAGUGUUAAACAGUUUACCUGCUGAAGACAGAACGUUUUUCUUGGAAUAUUUCGACACAUAUAACAGGCUGAGAAAUUUUGAUUAUCAGCUAUAAACAAGUAUAGCUUUCACCUGAAACAGUGUAUUUAACAGCUAGUUCAACAUUGUAGCUAAGGCAGGUCAAUUGAGUUCUGAUCACACCACAGAGACAACAUUCGAUGUACACAACCCACAAAUAUAUCUGGGGCAAGGAGAUAUCUUUUUAUGACUGAAUUU